rnacentral:lncRNA from 1 species
UGAUGAUAAAAUCAUCAUUUUGCUCCUCAUCAUGUCCACGGAAGAAAAAGCUAAGGACAUUUUUGCCAUAAAAAAAAAAAUAAUAAUAUUUUAUAAAUAAAAUUUUAACGGAUUACUAACGAUAGGAGACGAAGUGAAUAUUUUUUAUUUUACAAAAGAGUAAAAUAUAGGUUUUUAAAUAACAGAAAAAUAAGUGAAAAAUCAAAAUUUGACAGAAAAAUUUUAUGUAAUUUAGCCUUAAACUAUUUAUAUAUUGUACUUUAAUCUCUAAAUUUUGUCACCAU